ACUUAUAUAAUUCAUACAGAAUAUUGCAUUGAAGCUGCAAAAGAGGUUAAAAAAUCUAUAGGUAC
rnacentral:tRNA from 1 species